rnacentral:rRNA from 1 species
UACGUAGGGGGGCAAGCGUUGUCCGGAAUCAUUGGGCGUAAAGCGCGUGUAGGCGGCCCGGUAAGUCCGCUGUGAAAGUCGGGGGCUCAACCCUCGAAUGCCGGUGGAUACUGUCGGGCUAGAGUGCGGGAGAGGCGAGUGGAAUCCUGGUGUAGCGGUGAAAUGCGCAGAUAUCAGGAGGAACACCAAUUGCGAAGGCAGCUCGCUGGAACGUAACUGACGCUGAGACGCGAAAGCGUGGGGAGCAAACAGG